AAGCCUAAACUUUUUCUUCUCUAUUUUCUUGACCCAAGCUGCCACCCCUAAUUCUUACUCCCUCAUCUUCUCAGGCACUUUUCACCUCCAACAAACGACCUCAAGUUCGCUGAAACAACAACCAAACUCCAUCUCCGGCGAGCUAGCGAGCUCCAACCUCGCACAAUUGGCCACACACCCAUCUAACGAGUCCAUCUUUCCUAUUUUUCUUUUCCAUUUUUUGUUUUCACUUUCUAGUGAACACCACCAUCACUGGUGCACAACCAUAGUUGAAUAAACCAGUCCACCCAUACCACUACAACAAAAAUGAACUUGUUACCUUAGUCUCUAGUGAAACUAGGAGCUAGAAGGUCCAUGCUUUGCACUCCGUCUCAUUUUUCAGCCAGAUCUGGAGGGAACACUUCAUCUCAAGCAAACUUUGGUGACCAUUGCUAUAUUUGUACAUUUUACAGGCACCCACCUUCUAAUGCGGGUAUUUCAUUUAUAUUUUACAGGCACCCACCGUCUAAUGCAGGAAGCUCUAUCCAGAGUUCAGUCAUCACAAGGACGUAAUCAUCCUUUCACUCUAGCAAGUGCACAGUCUUGCAUUCCCAACUAUCACAACUCGAUAUUGGGGCAAUUUUGGAAGAGACAUCGGUAACAUAUGAAACCUUUCAACAGGACCAGAGUCGUCAACUCUAAACAACAAGACAAUAGGCUAUUUGCCUCAAUUUUCAAACUAUACAUGGCCCGAUCCUCAUCUAG